UUUUUUUUUUCUGAGACAAGAGGAUAAAAAUAGGCAAAUUAUAAGGACAGACUAAGUUUUUUUUUUAAAAAUCUUUUAUUCCUACUGAGGUAAAACCCAUUAUGUCAACCAUUUUAAUGGGCACAAUUCAGUGGCUCUUAGUACAUUCCCAAUGUUGUAAAAGCAUCACAACUCUCUAAUUCCAGAACAUUUUCAUUAUUCCAAAAAGAAACUCCAGGUCGAUUAAGCAGUCAUUUCCUCAAACUUCCUUUUUCUCAACCCCUGGAAAACAUUAAUCCAGAUUAAUGUUGGACAUUAAUGCUGGGCAUUUCAUACAAAUGAAAUCACACAAUAAGUGGCCUUUUGUGUUGGGCUUCUUUUGCUUAAUAUAUUCAAGAUUCAUCCAUUUUGUAUCUUGUAUCAUUACUUUGUUCCUGUAGCUGAAUAAUAUUGCACUGUAUGGAUAUAACACAUUGUGUUUACUCAUUUGCCAAUUGAUUAAUGUUUAGAUUGUUUCCAAUUUUUGGCUAUUGUGAAAAUUAUGCUAUAAACAUGUACAAGUUUCUGUUUGAACUCUUAUUUUCAGUUCUCUUGAAUUCCACUCAAGUGGAAUCGCUGGGUCAUAUGGUAAUUCUAUGUCAAACUUUUAAAAGAAUUGCCAAACUGUUUUCCACAGUGGCUGGAUCAGUUUACAUUCCCACCAGCAAAUGUAGGAGGGUUCCAGUUUCUCUUCAUUCUCAGUAACACUUGUUCUUUCCAUUUUAUUAUUUUUACUAUUAUUACCUUCCUAGUGGCUGUGAAGCUGUCUUUCACUGUGGUUUUGAUUUUUGUUUCCCCAAUGACUAAUGAUGUGGCACAUCUUUUCAUGACUUGAUUGGUCAUCUAUAUAUCUGCUUUAGGAAAAUGUCUAUGCAAGUCCCUUUGCCCAUUUUUAAUUGUUUGUCUUUUGUUGUUGAGUUGUAAGAAUUCUUUAUCUAUGAAUACUAGACCCUUAUCACAUAUGAAAUUUUCAAAUACUUUAGUCAUUCUGUGGGUAGUCUUUUCUCUUUAUUGGGUAUGUCCUUUGAUACACAAGCUUUGGAUUUUGACAAAUUCCAGCUUUUUUUUCUUCUGUCAUUUGUGCUUUUGGCAUUCAUCUAAGAAUACAUUGCCAAUCAACGAUACUUGAGAUUUACACCAAUGUUUUCUUCUAAGAGUGUUAUGGUUUUAGCUCUUACAUUUAAGGCUUUCAUCCAUUUUCAGUUCAUUUUUAUAUAUGGUAUGAAGUAAGGGUCCAAUAUAAUUCUUUUGCAUGUGGUUAUUCAGUUGUUCCAACACCAUAUGUUCAAAAGAUUAUUCUUUCCCCCGUUGAAUGGCCUUGGCACACUUAUCAAAAAUUAAUUGACUAUAGAUGUAGGAGUUUGUUUCUGGAUUCUCAGUUCAAUUCCAUUGGUCUCUAUAUCUACCAUUGCCAAUACCACACUAUUUUGAUUACUGUAGUUCUGUAUCAAGUUUUGAAAUCAAGAAGUGGGAGUCCUCCAAAUUUGUACUUCUUUUUCAAGACUGUUUUGGCUAUUUGAGGUCCCUUCCAAUUCAAUAUGAAUUUUAGAAUCAGCUUGUCCCUUUCAGCAAAAAAAAAAAAAAAAAAGGAAUUGGAAUUUUGAUGGGGAUAGCAUAGAACCUAUCGAUCAAUUUGGAGAGCAUUGCCAUCUUAACAAUAUUAAGUCUUGUACUCCAUAAAUGCAGAAUAUCUUUCCAUUUAUUUAGGAUUUCUUCUACCAAUCAUUUUAUUAUUCAGCCUUUCUGCCAAGCUUUUCAGUUUAUUAUUUGCCCUGUUAGUCCUUGCUCUCGGUGGCAAGCUCCAAUUCAUUUGCCUUUAAAAGGCUUUGACAAAUGCCCUCUGAGGAGUCACCUCAGCUGUGAAUUUUUCCAAUUUAGGCUAACUAAGGUUAAGACCUGUGAGGUGGUCCUUCAGGGAACCACCAGACAGGUCAGAAUAGCCACUAUUCUUUAAGAAUGAGUUCUGUGCUGCUCCCUCUGGUACCAGAAACCUGUACUAGAAAUGUGGCUGGUCUCCAACAAGCUGAGCCGGGAGUGGAGAAUGGGGAAAGGGUAAGUUAAAAUGCUACAAAGCUCCUUAUUGAGACUCAGAUUUUGUUGUUGUUGUUAAGCAUUUACUUCAUUGCUAUAAACUGUUGGUCAGUUGCCAGAGUUCUGAUAAAGUUGAUUUUGACGGCCCUUGCCAGUGUAUUCACCACUUUUGUAGAAGGACAAGGGUUUGGGGAUCCCUGCUCCACCAUUUUCCCCAAUACCACUCUGAGAUUUUUUGUUAGGAAUACAAAAAAACCCCAAAUUUCAGUGGCUCAAUACCACAAAGACUUAUUUCUUGCUCAUGACUCAUGCCCACGUGCAUAGACUAGGGAUCUGUUCUACCUCGGUUUUAAGACUCGGCAAAACAGAACAGUCAGAAUCUGGAGUUGUGUCAAGAACUCUGGCUGAGGGAAGGAGGAUGUGUCAAGUCAUCCACUGACUUAAAACUUCCAUCUGGAAAAGAUCCAUUUACAUUGCAUUGGCCAAAGCUUUUCACAUGGUCAUGCCUAACUUCAAAGAGGGGCAGUGGGGAAUGCACUCCUACUGGGUAAGCAAAAGGAAAGGAAACUUUGUGAACAGCAUUAAUUGUGAAAAGAAAAUUUGAGGAGAUUCCUAUUAAAGUUAUGGUUAAGAGUAUAUUAAGUAGUCUUGAGGCUCACAGUAAAUAGUGAAGUAACCAUCUGAGUAUAGGAAGUGAGGACUACAUAGGGCUCUGAGAGUAUGUAAAACAUUUGGAAGUGUUGCUAUAUGUAGGCAAAUCAAUACAGCGGUAAUUUAAAAAUGAAAAAAGCUGUUGAGCAGUGUUGAAAGCCCAACUGAAGUUAGUUAUGUAUUUAUAAUGCAUCUAAUCAUUGUGGGAUGGUCUCUAGUAAUGCUUCAUGGCUUAAGACAAAUGAAAUAUAUUUAGCAUUAUAGGGUGACUAGCAAUAUAACGUACCACUAAAAUAGAAGUAAAGGUCAUGCUUGAAUUUGGGUAAUUGUGCUAAUAUGAGAUGCAUUUUUUUUUUCUUCUCCUAGGCUCAUAUAACAUUUUGGACAGUUCAACCUCAUUUAUUCUACUCUGAAUAAAUCCAAAUGCAAUGGGGUGAAACCUAUGAGGGAAGACUUGCCUGUGGCUUGGCUGGAUGACCCAACCAUGAAAUGCUAUUGACAAGAUAUAAUUCUUGGCCUCCAAUAAGAAUGUUUAAAAUGUUUUUUAAUCUUAAAAAAUUCAUCUGUGACAUUUCUAUUGUUUCACCUUUUGAAGUUUCUAAAAGGUUUGGGAAAUGAAAAAGGAUGAUAUAAUAAAUGAUUACUUGUGGAUUGAGGAGAAAAACAUAAGAGAUUUAAAACCUAGUGAUCAAGUACUCUCUCUACUUGCACUGAGGGGUAAGAAGAGACAAUUCAAUUAGAUGGAACAGAACUAACGAAUCCUUUGGAGCAGUGGAUGGGAUGGUAGAGUUACAGUUGAGUCUAGACCCAGGAGGCCCUGUGCUGGUGAUUGACAGCUCUGGAAAAAUUCUGAGAGGUUGUUAAAUGUAGAAGGAACAUACUGGCCAGAUGGUAGUAAAACCAAACCCAAAAUGUAGAGAACAUAAAUAGCUUCUUAACACCUUUCCUUCAGUGCUGUGCUUGAUGUGACCUUCAUCACAGUAUUAAGUGAGAGGAAGGUACAUAGUACGCUAGGACAGUAAUACCACCAGUCUUCUUCACUGGUUUGCAAGCCUUGGCCUUCAUCACCUUCCCUUGAGUAAAACCAAGGAUAAGACAGAGGCAAAUGAAAGAAUGACUCCCUUCAAAGGAGGCUUUUAAGAUGGCUACAAGGGAAGUUUCUAAUGAGCCAUAUCUGGUUUUAUUGUGCUUUGCUGAUAUUGCCUUUUUUUUUUUUUUUUUUUUUUUUUUUACAAAUUGCAGGUUUGUGGCAACCCUACAUCUGACAUAUCUACUGGUACGAUUUUCUAACAGCAUUUUCUCAAUUCAUGUUUCUGUGCCAAAUUUUGGUAAUUCUUGUAGUAUUUCAAAAUUAUGAUUAUAUUUUUUAUGGUGAUUUGUGAUCAGUGGUGUUUGAUGUUUCUAUUAUAAUAGUUUUGUGGUGCCAAGAACCAUGCCUAUAUAAGAAGACAAACUUAAUUGAUAAAUGUUGUGUGUGUCCUGCUUGUUCCACCAACAUGCUGUUCCCCUGUCACUCUCCCUCUUCUAGGGUCUCCUAUUCCCUAAGAGAUAACAAUAUUGAAAUUAGGCCAAUUCAUAAUCCUAUAAUGGCCUCUAAGUAUUUAAGUGAAAGGAAGAGUUGCACAUCCCUCAUUUUAAGUCAAAAGCUAGAAAUGAUUGAGCUUAGUGAGGAAGGUAUGUUGAAAGCUGAAAGGCAGAAAGCUAGACCCCUGUGCCAAACAGCCAACUUGUGAAUACAAAGGAAAAGUUCUUGAAGAAAAUUCAAAGUGCUAUUCCAGUGAACAC
rnacentral:lncRNA from 1 species